rnacentral:rRNA from 1 species
GUAGGUAACCUGCCUUGUAGCGGGGGAUAACUAUUGGAAACGAUAGCUAAUACCGCAUAACAAUGGAUGACACAUGUCAUUUAUUUUGAAAGGAGCAAUUGCUCCACUACAAGAUGGACCUGCGUUGUAUUAGCUAGUAGGUGAGGUAAUGGCUCACCUAGGCGACGAUACAUAGCCGACCUGAGAGGGUGAUCGGCCACACUGGGACUGAGACACGGCCCAGACUCCUACGGGAGGCAGCAUG